AACCCGUGAUGUGGUCAUUUGCAUAGUAAAUCCUUGAAACGCUUCCAUGCCUUAUACAGUGAUUCCAUAUCAGCCUACAAAAACAUAGUAAUUUCAUUAUGUAACU